UUGGAGGGCAAGUCUGGUGCCAGCAGCCGCGGUAAUUCCAGCUCCAAUAGCGUAUAUUAAAGUUGUUGCAGUUAAAAAGCUCGUAGUUGAAUUUUAGGCCUGGCCGGGCGGUCCGUCUUUGGCGAGUACUGUCUGUUGUCGGGUCUUCCUUCUGGUGAACCAGUAUGUCCUUUAUUGGGUGUGUUGGGGAGCCAGGACCAUUACCUUGAAAAAAUUAGAGUGUUUAAAGCGGGCUAUUGCUUGAAUAGAUUAGCAUGGAAUAAUGAAAUAGGACGUUUGAUUCUAUUUUGUUGGUUUCUAGGAUCGACGUAAUGAUUAAUAGGGAUAGUUGGGGGCAUUAGUAUUCAAUUGUCAGAGGUGAAAUUCUUGGAUUUAUUGAAGACUAACUACUGCGAAAGCAUUUGCCAAGGAUGUUUUCAUUAAUCAAGAACGAAAGUUAGGGGAUCGAAGACGAUCAGAUACCGUCGUAGUCUUAACCAUAAACUAUGCCGACUAGGAAUCGGGCGUCGUUAUUUUCACGACUCGUUCGGCGCCUUACGGGAAAC
rnacentral:rRNA from 1 species